rnacentral:rRNA from 1 species
GGGAACUGCAUUUGAAACUGGCAGGCUUGAGUCUUGUAGAGGGGGGUAGAAUUCCAGGUGUAGCGGUGAAAUGCGUAGAGAUCUGGAGGAAUACCGGUGGCGAAGGCGGCCCCCUGGACAAAGACUGACGCUCAGGUGCGAAAGCGUGGGGAGCAAACAGGAUUAGAUACCCUGGUAGUCCACGCCGUAAACGAUGUCGACUUGGAGGUUGUUCCCUUGAGGAGUGGCUUCCGGAGCUAACGCGUUAAGUCGACCGCCUGGGGAGUACGGCCGCAAGGUUAAAACUCAAAUGAAUUGACGGGGGCCCGCACAAGCGGUGGAGCAUGUGGUUUAAUUCGAUGCAACGCGAAGAACCUUACCUACUCUUGACAUCCA